GAUGAACGCUGGCGGCGUGCCUAAUACAUGCAAGUCGAGCGAACGGACGCGAAGCUUGCUUCUCUGAUGUUAGCGGCGGACGGGUGAGUAACACGUGGAUAACCUACCUAUAAGACUGGGAUAACUUCGGGAAACCGGAGCUAAUACCGGAUAAUAUUUUGAACCGCAUGGUUCAAAAGUGAAAGACGGUCUUGCUGUCACUUAUAGAUGGAUCCGCGCUGCAUUAGCUAGUUGGUAAGGUAACGGCUUACCAAGGCAACGAUGCAUAGCCGACCUGAGAGGGUGAUCGGCCAUACUGGAACUGAGACACGGUCCAGACUCCUACGGGAGGCAGCAGUAGGGAAUCUUCCGCAAUGGGCGAAAGCCUGACGGAGCAACGCCGCGUGAGUGAUGAAGGUCUUCGGAUCGUAAAACUCUGUUAUUAGGGAAGAACAUAUGUGUAAGUAACUGUGCACAUCUUGACGGUACCUAAUCAGAAAGCCACGGCUAACUACGUG
rnacentral:rRNA from 1 species